rnacentral:rRNA from 1 species
AAGUCCCGCAACGAGCGCAACCCUUAAGCUUAGUUGCCAUCAUUAAGUUGGGCACUCUAGGUUGACUGCCGGUGACAAACCGGAGGAAGGUGGGGAUGACGUCAAAUCAUCAUGCCCCUUAUGAUUUGGGCUACACACGUGCUACAAUGGAUAAUACAAAGGGCAGCGAAUCCGCGAGGCCAAGCAAAUCCCAUAAAAUUAUUCUCAGUUCGGAUUGUAGUCUGCAACUCGACUACAUGAAGCUGGAAUCGCUAGUAAUCGUAGAUCAGCAUGCUACGGUGAAUACGUUCCCGGGUCUUGUACACACCGCCCGUCACACCACGAGAGUUUGUAACACCCGAAGCCGGUGGAGUAACCUUUUAGGAGCUAGCCGUCGAAGGUGGGACAAAUGAUUGGGGUGAAGUCGUAACAAGGUAGCCGUAUCGGAAGGUGCGGCUGGAUCACCUCCUUUCUAAGGA